CUAUUUCUUACCUUCUUGCAGUGAUUAGGUAGGUUUCGCAUCCCACUGAACAUAGCCUUCUUGCCAUUCUUAGAAGUUCCAAGUCCCUUCUUGCACUUAAAGCCUGCAUCUUUGUGAGCUAGAUAAUAACAUAUGAAUGCCCACUUGAUUUGGCUGUUUCUAGACAUUUAUCCUCUAAUUCAAUAUGACAACAAACAUAAUCAAAAGUCUUGAUACUUUCGUUGUGUGUCACAUUAACCUUCAUAUGUUCCCAGCUUUAUGGAAGAGAUCUUAUCAUGGCUUGGACCUAUUGUUCAUCAGUCAGAAUAUGCCCAGCUGCCCUCAACUCUCUAAUCAUG
rnacentral:lncRNA from 1 species